UCUCUCUCAUAGAAACUACGACAACAACCACAGCACCAUUGCCACCGUAACCACAAGGAUCAAAACGCCGUCGUUUAAGACGAGGCGCGGCGAUUCAUUGCGGCAUUUGAUUCAAUUCGGCGCCCUAGUGCAGUUAGAGUCAGAUUUACAUUUCACAUUUCACGCAACUUAUAGGUACCUUCAUUUCCUCCAAUUGAAGUUUCGCUGCGAUUUUAAGGGAAAGAUUCCCCAAUUGUUCACAAUACAGCUUCAAUUUUAAGUGCCUUAAUUAAUAUUUCUCAAGAUAAAGCGUGGAUUGUGUUGCUCUGUCGUUUCAACGAUUGAUGCACGGGUUUUCUUCUGCGAAUUUUCUUUGUUCUCGGAAUUCGCAGUAGACACCCGAAUCGGAUAACCGAUGAGGGUGGAGAUUUCGAUUCGUGCGAGGAUUAGGGUUUUCGGGGAAGGUUUUAGGGAUUUGUAGGGUUUAAGUAUGCUUUAGCUGUUGAUCUAAUUCAAAUCAGGGUGUUUUUCCUUGGGGGGUUGAUGAUGGUUGGUUGAGGAUGGUGAGGCUUUUAGGAUUGACUCGUGGGGAGGUUGAUGAACCCAGGGAAAUUGCGUCGAGGUCCAAUCUGAAUAGUGAGUCCAGUGAAAAUGGGUGGCUCAUUAGGUUCUUUGACUCGUCGUUCUUCUGUGAGUGGAUUGCUGUUAGCUACUUGUACAAGCAUGAUCACUCCGGGGUGCGUGAUUAUCUCUGUAAUAGAAUGUAUACACUUCCCUUGCAGGGAAUUGAGAGUUAUUUGUUCCAAGUGUGUUACAUGAUGAUACAUAAGCCGAGCCCGUCAUUGGACAAGUUCGUCAUAGAUGUGUGCUGCAAGUCACUUAAGAUUGCUUUGAAGGUGCAUUGGUUCUUAUUGGCGGAGCUCGAGGACUCUGAUGAUAAUGAAGGGAUUAGUAGGAUUCAGGAGAAGUGCCAGAUUGCAGCCACCUUGAUGGGUGAGUGGCCUACCCUAAUACGGCCUCAAAAUGCACCUUCAAGCCCUGGGGGCAAGAACCAAGUUUUGAAUAAGAUAUUGUCAUCAAAACAGCGUUUGUUGUCGCUCACGUCUUCACCACCUGCUCAGAGGUCGUUGUCAUUCUCACCUUCUUCGGGAAACAAUUUGCAGGAGGAUGGUAGUCCACAUUCUCCUGAGGAAACCAAGUUGUUUAAGAAAUUUAUGCCAGGUCCAAAGGUUAGAGAUGCUUUGCUUUUUAGGAAAUCGGUGGAGAAAGAUGAUGAAUACUCUGAAAAGGAUGGCUUUUUCAAGAGGCUUUUAAGAGAUAGCAAAGGUGAUGAUGAGUUGGGCCAGAAAAUUCGUGAUACUUUUCUCUUCCGUAAGUCAUCUGAGAAAUAUGAUGAAGAUUCUGAAAAGGAUAAUUUCUUUAAGAGACUCUUAAGGGACAGCAGAGGGGAUGAUGAAGAAUCUGAAAAGGAUGGUUUCUUUAGAAGGCUCUUAAGAGACAGUAAAGGUGAGGAUGAUGAUUUAGCCUCAAGUUCAGAUGGAUUCUUUAAGAGGUUGUUUCGUGAUAGCAAGAAUGGUUCUGAGGAUAAAACACUCACUAAGACAACGGAGGAUGAAGAAAAAGAAGGAUUUUUCCGAAAGCUUUUCAGAGAGAAAUUUGAAGAUAAGAAGGAUGGGAAUGAUGAAGGAGAUAUUGUUAAUUCUGAAGAGAAAUGUGCAAAGCUUGCUGAAGAUGAUGAAAAAGAAGGGUUUUUCCGGAAAUUCUUUAAGGAUAAAUUUGAGGACAAAAAAGAUACAAAUGAUAUAAUUGAAGAUGGUACUACCAAUGUUGAGGAAGAAGAGGCUUCUGAUUUUUCUUUGUUCAAAAGAAUUUUUCGCGUGCACCCAGAAGAUGGUAAAAGUAGUUCAGCCAAUGAAAACAAUAAUGGUGGCUUGCUUGAAAGUAGUCCAGGUACAGAGAAUUUUUUCCGCAAAUUGUUUAGAGAUCGUGACCGUUCAAUUGAAGACUCAGAGUUACUUGGUUCAAAAAAACAGAAAGAGAAGCAUCCUGGAUCGCCAAAGCAACGAAAUGAGAAAACAAAGCCCCCAUUACCAAUUAAUUCAUCGCAGUUCCGGAAACGAGCUUACCAUGAGUCAUUGGAUUUUGUGCUGUCAUUAUGUGAGACAUCAUUUGGGUUAGUGGAUGUAUUUCCAGUUGAAGAUCGCAAACAUGCCCUGCAUGAGUCGCUUGUGGAGAUCAAUUUACAUUUACAAGAGGUUCAGAAUACUGGAGGAGUUUGUUUUCCGUUGGGAAAGGGCAUGUACCGUGUGCUUCUUAUACCUGAAGAUGAAGCUGUUCUCUUGAAUUCUAGGGAGAAGGCACCUUACCUGAUUUGUGUUGAAGUUUUGAGAUGUGAAAUGCCAAGCAAUUCAAAGGAGACAUCCAGUUCUCAAAAACUUUCUAAAGGUGGAAUUCCUUUGGCAAAUGGAGACGCUCUCUUGCAAAAGCCGCCCCCUUGGGCUUAUCCCUUAUGGACAGCACAAGAGGUGUAUCGCAAUAGCAACGAUAGAAUGUCCAAAUCAACUGCUGAGGCUAUUGACCUAGCAAUGACCCAUGUACCUGAGACAAAAGUCAAAUUUGUUAGUCUAAAUCUUUCGGUGGAAAUGCAAUUACAUGGUCAGCAGGAGAAGACUGAAGCAGAUCUAUCUAAGGGCCAUCGGCAUCCUGCUUCAAUUAACAGGAGUAUACAAGAAGUUGCAAGGCCAUAUCAUGACAGUGAUAUGGAGUGGGUACGGGUAGUGUUGAAAGCUGAUCCUCGGAUUAGACUGGAAGAUAUUGAGGAUCAAGCACCACGACGACGGAAGGAACAUCGUCGUGUUCCUAGUACAGUGGCAAUAGAGGAAGUAAAGGCUGCGGCAGCAAAGGGGGAAGCACCUCUUGGACUCCCUUUGAAAGGUGCUGGUCAAGAUUCAUCAGAUGCGAAGCCAAGGGCUAACGGAAUUACUCCCAAAGCUAGUGAUGCCUUGUCUGGUGAACUUUGGGUGGUAAAGAAAGAGAGGAUACGCAAGGCUUCUGUCCAUGGGAAUUUUCCUGGUUGGGACUUGCGAUCUGUUAUUGUAAAGAGUGGGGAUGAUUGUAGGCAGGAGCAUCUGGCAGUUCAACUUAUUUCACACUUCUAUGAUAUUUUCCAAGAAGCCGGCCUACCUCUCUGGCUGCGCCCUUAUGAAGUUCUAUGUACUUCUUCUUACACUGCUCUUAUUGAAACAAUUCCAGAUACGGCUUCUCUACAUUCUAUCAAGAGUAGAUAUCCCAACAUCUCAAGUUUACGUGAAUUUUUUAUUGCCAAGUAUCAAAAAGAUUCUCCAAGUUUUAAACUUGCUCAGGUAAUGAAGAGAUAUCAUCAUGUGAAGUUACACUGGCAUUAUUGUGGACUGAUCUUGUUCAUCUUAUAAGUUGCAAGGAAUUUUUAAUCGAGUAUCUGUGCCACUAGCAUAUAUUAUGUUUCAUCCCCUCCCUUCCAAGCGGCCACUGACAUUUAAUUUCAUGUUUUCUUAAAUACAGAGGAACUUUGUUGAAAGUAUGGCUGGAUAUUCCCUGGUUUGCUACCUUUUGCAGGUGAAGGAUAGGCAUAAUGGAAACCUCUUACUGGAUGAAGAAGGUCAUAUUAUUCAUAUUGAUUUUGGCUUUAUGCUUUCCAAUUCACCUGGUGGUGUUAAUUUUGAAAGUGCGCCCUUCAAAUUAACCCGAGAGCUUCUUGAGGUCAUGGAUUCUGAUGCUGAGGGCAUGCCUAGCGAGUUCUUUGAUUAUUUCAAGGUUUUAUGCAUUCAAGGGUUUCUUACUUGCCGUAAGCAUGCUGAGCGUGUUAUUCUUCUUGUUGAGAUGUUGCAGGAGUCUGGUUUCCCCUGCUUUAAAGGUGGUCCCCGGACAAUACAGAACCUCCGAAAACGAUUUCAUCUCAAUUUGACAGAAGAGCAAUGUGUAUCUUUGGUGCUUUCACUGAUUAGCAGCAGCCUGGAUGCAUGGCGGACACGGCAGUAUGAUUAUUACCAGAGGGUUUUGAAUGGGAUAUUAUGAGAUACUUUGUCAGUGGCGAUCAUUUGCAUGUUCACUUUUGAGUAAGCUUGCACGGUGAAUGCCCAUCAAUUAGUAUUUGCAUUUUUUAAGUCAUGGGAGGGUGGUCGGUUCACCGUGUUAUGGCUUUAGAGUUUUUGUGAGAGGUAAGAAUUAAUAGGUGGCAGUGUACAACCUCUUUUCUCCUGGUGGCGGUGGGUGGAAGAUUCUUACACCCCGAAGCACUUCAACAUUCUGAGGAUAAAUUUACUCAAGCCAAGUCUUCGAUCCCCCCUCCCUUGUUUCUUGUGAAUGAACCCUGCUACUUGGAGAAGUUGUGUUAGCUUCCUAUAUGCUGAGAGUGCAAAUUGUACAGUGGUGAUAGCGGGAGUAAGAAGCAGAUUUAUAUUGGAUAUGGGUAUGAGUGCUGUGUAAACUGUUUGAUUCAUCAAAGUCUUGGUUUGAAGGUGCGUUGCAUUGUUGAGCAUAUGACCUGGUGCCUUUUUUGGUAUCCGUUAUCAUGGGCAGACCUCCAAUAUUGGCGGCGAACUGCUCUGUUAUUUUUUCUAUCCCAGCUGAUCUAUGGCGUGCCUUCCCAGAGUUGAUUCUUCAAUACUUACACUGGAAAAUUGUUCUCAAAAUUCUUUGAUGAUGUUUGAUUACAUCAUGUGUAAUUGAUCCUGUUUACUUUCACGGUGAAUUUUGUUCACCUUCAUAUCUAUUAUACAAAAGUUUUGGUGGCAUCGUUCCUGGAACGCAGUUUUUCCAUUUCCCGAGACCGUGCCUUUAAUUCUUAUAAACUGCACUUUAUAAGUGUUGAUUUCAUUCACAGUCUGUCGUUUGGGAAUUACUUUGGAUCAACGUUUAUGUGGUUGGCCGAUUCAGUCCCUAUCUAGAUGUGGAAGGAACUCCAUAAUAGGUUCGAGAACAUCCAAAGAUUUGCUUGUCAUCAAUGUAUUUGAGAACUCCAUAAGAACUAGCUCAUGUAAUUUUAGAUCAAAGGUGAUGAUUAAG